rnacentral:rRNA from 1 species
CCUACGGGCGGCAGCAGUGGGGAAUAUUGGACAAUGGGCGAAAGCCUGAUCCAGCCAUGCCGCGUGUGUGAAGAAGGCCUUCGGGUUGUAAAGCACUUUCAGUGGGGAAGAAAGCCUUGGGGCUAAUACCCUCGAGGAAGGACAUCACCCACAGAAGAAGCACCGGCUAACUCCGUGCCAGCAGCCGCGGUAAUACGGAGGGUGCGAGCGUUAAUCGGAAUUACUGGGCGUAAAGCGCGCGUAGGCGGUCUGAUAAGCCGGUUGUGAAAGCCCCGGGCUCAACCUGGGAACGGCAUCCGGAACUGUCAGGCUAGAGUGCAGGAGAGGAAGGUAGAAUUCACGGUGUAGCGGUGAAAUGCGUAGAGAGCGGGAGGAAUACCAGUGGCGAAGGCGGCCUUCUGGACUGACACUGACGCUGAGGUGCGAAAGCGUGGGUAGCAAACAGGAUUAGAUACCCCUGUAGUC